rnacentral:lncRNA from 10 species
AAAGAAUUAAAAACAAGAACAAAAAACUUCUUGCACAAUAGUUCAUUACACUGAAUCAUGAAAAGUUCCUACAGUUUAGCCACAUUUUUACUAUAUGUAAAAUUUAUGUAAUUUUACUAUAUAUCCCAUCUAUAUAUAUUUGAAAAUGUAUAGUACAUUAAUGCAGUAAAUUUUUUUUUUUUGUAGACGGAUUAUCACUCUGCCGCCCAGGCUGGAGUGAGUGGCCCAAUCUCAGCUCACCACAACCUCCUGCAACCUCCGCCUCCCAGGUUCAAGCAAUUCUCCUGCCUCAGCCUCCCGAGUAGCUGGAACUACAGACAGGUGCCACCACGCCCAGCUAAUUUUUUGUAUUUUUAGUAGAGAUGGGGUUUCACUGUGUUAAGUCAGGAUGGUCUUG